GCAUAUCAAUAAGCGGAGGAAAAGAAACUAACAAGGAUUCCCCUAGUAACGGCGAGUGAAGCGGGAUGAGCUCAAAUUUGUAAUCUGGUGGACUCAGUUCAUCCGAGUUGUAAUCUAUAGAAAAGUUUUCCGCGCCGGACCGUGUCUAAGUCCCUUGGAACAGGGUGUCAGAGAGGGUGAGAAUCCCGUGCUUGAUACGACCACCGGUGCUAUGUGAUACUUUUUCAACGAGUCGAGUUGUUUGGGAAUGCAGCUCAAAAUGGGUGGUAAAUUCCAUCUAAAGCUAAAUAUUGGCGAGAGACCGAUAGCGAACAAGUACCGUGAGGGAAAGAUGAAAAGCACUUUGGAAAGAGAGUUAAACAGUACGUGAAAUUGUUAAAAGGGAAACGAUUGAAGUCAGUCGUGCUCUCUGGGACUCAGCCGGUUCUUCCGGUGUAUUUCCCAGUGAGCGGGUCAACAUCAGUUUAGAUCGCUGGAUAAGGUCAUUAGGAAUGUGGCUCCCUCGGGAGUGUUAUAGCCUAGUGUCGCAUACAGUGGUUUAGACUGAGGAACGCAGCUCGCCUUUAUGGCCGGGGUUCGCCCACGUCCGAGCUUAGGAUGUUGACAUAAUGGCUUUAAACGACCCGUCUUGAAACACGGACC
rnacentral:rRNA from 2 species